rnacentral:rRNA from 1 species
GAUGAACGCUAGCGGCAGGCUUAACACAUGCAAGCCGAGGGGCAGCACGGUAGCAAUACUGGUGGCGACCGGCGCACGGGUGAGUAACGCGUAUGCAAUCUACCUUUAACUGGGGAAUAGCUCAGAGAAAUCUGAAUUAAUACCCCAUAACAUUUCGGAGAGGCAUCUCUCUGAUCUUAAAGCUACGGCGGUUAAAGAUGAGCAUGCGUGAAAUUAGCUAGGUGGUAAGGUAACGGCCUACCAAGGCUACGAUGUCUAGGGGGUCUGAGAGGAUGAUCCCCCACACUGGUACUGAGACACGGACCAGACUCCUACGGGAGGCAGCAGUGAGGAAUAUUGGUCAAUGGGUGCAAGCCUGAACCAGCCAUGCCGCGUGAAGGAUUAAGGUUCUAUGAAUUGUAAACUUCUUUUGUCAGGGAAAAAACCCUCGAACGUGUUUGAGGCUGAUGGUACCUGAAGAAUAAGGAUCGGCUAACUCCGUGCCAGCCGCCGCCGUAAUAC